rnacentral:rRNA from 1 species
CCUGGUUGAUCCUGCCAGUAGUCAUAUGCUUGUAUAGAAGAUUAAGCCAUGCAUGUGUAAGUAUGAACAAAUUCAGACUGUGAAACUGCGAUGGCUCAUUAAAUCAGUUAUACUUUGUUUGAUGGUAUCUACUACUCGGAUAACCGUACUAAUUCUAGAGCUAAUAGGUGCAACAAACCCCGACUUCUGGAAGGGAUGCAUUUAUUAGAUAAAAGGUCGAUGCGGGCUCUGCCAGUUGCUACGAUGAUUCAUGAUAACUCGACGGAUCGCACGACCAUCGUGCUGGCGACGCAUCAUUCAAAUUUCUGCCCUAUGAACUUUUGAUGAUAGGACAGUGGCCUACCAUGGUGGUGACGGUUGACAGAGAAUUAGGGUUCGAUUCCGGAGGGGGAGCCUGCGAAACGGCUACCACAUCCAAGGAAAGCAGCAGGCGCGCAAAUUACCCAAUCCUGACACGGGGAGGUAGUGACAAUAAAUAACAAUACCGAGCUCCAUGAGUCUGGUAAUUGGAAUGAGUACAAUCUAAAUCCCUUAACGAGGAUCCAUUGGAGGGAAAGUCUGGUGCCAGCAGUCGCGGUAAUUCCAGCUCCAAUAGUGUAUAUUUAAGUUGUUGUAAUUAAAAAGCUCGUAGUUGGACUUUGGGAUGGGCCGGCCGGUCCGCCCUAGAUGUGCACCGGUCGUCUCGUCCCUUCUGUCGGGCGAUGCGCUCAUUGCGUUUAAUGGCCGGGUCAUGCCUCCGACGCUUUUACUUUUAAAAAUUAGAGUGCUCAAAGAAAUCCUACGCUCUGUAUACAUUAGCAUGGGAUAACAUUAUAGGAUUUUGGUCAUAUUACACAUUGGCCUUCAGGAUCGGAGUAAUGAUUAACAAGGACAUUCGGGGGCAUUCGUAUUUCAUAGUUAGAGGUGAAAUUCUUGGAUUUAUGAAAGAUGAACAACUGCAAAAGCAUUUGCCAAGAAUAUUUUCAUUAACCAAGAACGAAAUUUGGGGGCUCGAAGAUGAUUAGAUACCAUCCUAGUCUCAACCAUAAACGAUGCCGACCAGGGAUCGACGGAUGUUGCUUUUAGGACUCUGCCGCCACCUUAUGAGAAAUCAAAGUUUUUGGGUUCUGGGGGGGAGUAUGGUUGCAAGGCUGAAACUUAAAGGAAUUGACGGAAGGGCACCACCAGGAGUGGAGCCUGCGGCCUUAUUUGACUCAACACGGGGAAACAUACAAGGUCCAAACAUAGUAAGGAUUGACAGACUGAGAGAUCUUUCUUGAUUUUACUGGUGGUGGUGCAUGGCCGUUCUUAGUUAGUGAAGCGAUUUGUAUAGUUAAUUCCGUUAACGAAUGAGACCUCAUCCUGCUAACUAGCUAUGCGGAGGUAUCCCUUCGCGGCCAGCUUCUUAGAGGGACUACGACCUUUUAGGCUGCGGAUGUUUGAGGCAAUAACAGGUCUGUGAUGCCCUUAGAUGUUAUGGGCUGCACGCGCGCUACACUGAUUAUUCAAGAGCUUAUAGCCUUGGCCAACAGGCCCGGGUAAUCUUUGAAAUUUCAUCGUGAUAGGGAUAUAUCAUUGCAUUUAUUGGUUUUCAACGAGGAAUUCCUAGUAAGCGUGAGUCAUCAGCUCGCGUUGACUACGUCCCUGCCCUUUGUACACACUGCCCAUCGCUCCUACUGAUUGAAUGAUUUAGUGAAAUGUUCGGAUCGCGGUGACAUCGGCGGUUCGCUGCACACGAAGUCGUGAGAAGUCCAUUGAACCUUAUCAUUUAGAGGAAGGAGAAGUUGUAACAAGGUUUCCAUAGGUGAAACUGCGGAAG